UACGAAGGGGGCUAGCGUUGUUCGGAAUUACUGGGCGUAAAGCGCGCGCAGGCGGUCUUCCAAGUCAGUGGUGAAAGCCCGGAGCUCAACUCCGGAACUGCCAUUGAAACUGUAAGACUUGAGGAUGAGAGAGGUGAGUGGAAUUCCCAGUGUAGAGGUGAAAUUCGUAGAUAUUGGGAAGAACACCGGUGGCGAAGGCGGCUCACUGGCUCAUAUCUGACGCUCAGGCGCGACAGCGUGGGGAUCAAGCAGG
rnacentral:rRNA from 1 species